AUAAUAACCUUCAAGUUAUUCAAAAUUUUCAUUUAAUAAUGGCUUUUCUUUCAAUUUAUUACAAUUUUAUUUAAUGAUUUGUACACAUUGUUAGAAAUUAAAUUGUCUUCUUUCCAUCUUAUCUUCUUAUCCUUGUAUAAGCUGAACCAUCAUCCACAAUCUUUGUCUCUAUUUAUGUGGCAAUAAUAUAUAAUUGUUCCAAUAUAAUAGGAUAUGUAAAUAUAACUUAUACAAAGAAAUUUUAUUCAUAAAUAAAAUCUCUAAUAAUCAAUUUUGAUAUUUGAACAAACUUUAUAUAAAUCUCUAUUUG
rnacentral:lncRNA from 1 species